rnacentral:rRNA from 1 species
AGAGUUUGAUCCUGGCUCAGGACGAACGCUGGCGGCGCGCCUAACACAUGCAAGUCGAACGAGAGAUGAGGAGCUUGCUCUUCAAAUCGAGUGGCGAACGGGUGAGUAACGCGUGAGGAACCUGCCUCAAAGAGGGGGACAACAGUUGGAAACGACUGCUAAUACCGCAUAAGCCCACGGUGCCGCAUGGCACAGAGGGAAAAGGAGCAAUCCGCUUUGAGAUGGCCUCGCGUCCGAUUAGCUAGUUGGUGAGGUAACGGCCCACCAAGGCGACGAUCGGUAGCCGGACUGAGAGGUUGAACGGCCACAUUGGGACUGAGACACGGCCCAGACUCCUACGGGAGGCAGCAGUGGGGAAUAUUGCACAAUGGGGGAAACCCUGAUGCAGCGACGCCGCGUGGAGGAAGAAGGUCUUCGGAUUGUAAACUCCUGUUGUUGAGGAAGAUAAUGACGGUACUCAACAAGGAAGUGACGGCUAACUACGUGCCAGCAGCCGCGGUAAAACGUAGGUCACAAGCGUUGUCCGGAAUUACUGGGUGUAAAGGGAGCGCAGGCGGGAGAACAAGUUGGAAGUGAAAUCCAUGGGCUCAACCCAUGAACUGCUUUCAAAACUGUUUUUCUUGAGUAGUGCAGAGGUAGGCGGAAUUCCCGGUGUAGCGGUGGAAUGCGUAGAUAUCGGGAGGAACACCAGUGGCGAAGGCGGCCUACUGGGCACCAACUGACGCUGAGGCUCGAAAGUGUGGGUAGCAAACAGGAUUAGAUACCCUGGUAGUCCACACCGUAAACGAUGAUUACUAGGUGUUGGAGGAUUGACCCCUUCAGUGCCGCAGUUAACACAAUAAGUAAUCCACCUGGGGAGUACGACCGCAAGGUUGAAACUCAAAGGAAUUGACGGGGGCCCGCACAAGCAGUGGAGUAUGUGGUUUAAUUCGACGCAACGCGAAGAACCUUACCAAGUCUUGACAUCCCUUGACGAACAUAGAAAUAUGUUUUCUCUUCGGAGCAAGGAGACAGGUGGUGCAUGGUUGUCGUCAGCUCGUGUCGUGAGAUGUUGGGUUAAGUC